rnacentral:rRNA from 1 species
ACCUUCCGUACACUCAGGGAUAGCCUUUUGAAAGAAAGAUUAAUACCUGAUGGUAUCUUAAGCACACAUGUAAUUAAGAUUAAAGAUUUAUCGGUGUACGAUGGGGAUGCGUUCCAUUAGGUAGUAGGCGGGGUAACGGCCCACCUAGCCUACGAUGGAUAGGGGUUCUGAGAGGAAGGUCCCCCACAUUGGAACUGAGACACGGUCCAAACUCCUACGGGAGGCAGCAGUGAGGAAUAUUGGUCAAUGGACGAGAGUCUGAACCAGCCAAGUAGCGUGAAGGAUGAAGGUCCUACGGAUUGUAAACUUCUUUUAUAAGGGAAUAAAACCUCCCACGUGUGGGAGGUUGUAUGUACCUUAUGAAUAAGCAUCGGCUAACUCCGUGCCAGCAGCCGCGGUAAUACGGAGGAUGCAAGCGUUAUCCGGAUUUAUUGGGUUUAAAGGGAGCGCAGACGGGUCGUUAAGUCAGCUGUGAAAGUUUGGGGCUCAACCUUAAAAUUGCAGUUGAUACUGGCGUCCUUGAGUGCGGUUGAGGUGUGCGGAAUUCGUGGUGUAGCGGUGAAAUGCUUAGAUAUCACGAAGAACUCCGAUUGCGAAGGCAGCACACUAAGCCGUAACUGACGUUCAUGCUCGAAAGUGUGGGUAUCAAACAGGAUUAGAUACCCUGGUAGUCCACACGGUAAACGAUGGAUACUCGCUGUUGGCGAUAUACGGUCAGCGGCUUAGCGAAAGCGUUAAGUAUCCCACCUGGGGAGUAC